GGUCAAUGUGGCAUAGUGGUUUGAGUGUUGGACUGUGACUCUUGAGACCAGGGUCCAAAUCCCUGCUCGUCCA